GACGAACGCUGGCGGCGUGCUUAACACAUGCAAGUCGAACGGAAAGGCCCUGCUUUUGUGGGGUGCUCGAGUGGCGAACGGGUGAGUAACACGUGAGUAACCUGCCCUUGACUUUGGGAUAAAUUCAGGAAACUGGGGCUAAUACCGGAUAGGAGCUCCUGCUGCAUGGUGGGGGUUGGAAAGUUUCGGCGGUUGGGGAUGGACUCGCGGCUUAUCAGCUUGUUGGUGGGGUAGUGGCUUACCAAGGCUUUGACGGGUAGCCGGCCUGAGAGGGUGACCGGCCACAUUGGGACUGAGAUACGGCCCAGACUCCUACGGGAGGCAGCAGUGGGGAAUAUUGCACCAUGGGCGGAAGCCUGAUGCAGCAACGCCGCGUGCGGGAUGACGGCCUUCGGGUUGUAAACCGCUUUCGCCUGUGACGAAGCGUGAGUGACGGUAAUGGGUAAAGAAGCACCGGCUAACUACGUG
rnacentral:rRNA from 1 species